rfam:Helianthus annuus linkage group 12, whole genome shotgun sequence.
UUGGUUGCAGUGAUUAUAAAAAAUUCCUCGUACUGAAUGCUAUGGCAUGACAGACAUUUUUACACCCAUAGAAUAUGAGCAACC